rnacentral:rRNA from 1 species
UACGUAGGGUGCAAGCGUUAAAUCGGAAUUACUGGGCGUAAAGCGUGCGCAGGCGGUUAUGUAAGACAGAUGUGAAAUGCCCGGGCCUUAACCUGGGAACUGCAUUUGUGACUGCAUGGCUAGAGUUUGGCAGAGGGGGGUAGAAUUCCACGCGUAGCAGUGAAAUGCGUAGAUAUGUGGAGGAACACCGAUGGCGAAGGCAGCCCCUGGGUCA